AGAGUUUGAUCCUGGCUCAGAACGAACGCUGGCGGCGUGCCUAACACAUGCAAGUCGAACGGAGAUAAGGGGCUUGCUCCUUAUUUUAGUGGCGCACGGGUGAGUAACGCGUGGAUAAUCUACCUUGGAAUCUGGGAUAACAUUUCGAAAGGGGUGCUAAUACCGGAUAAGACCACGAUCUCUUUGGAGAUUGCGGUAAAAGGGGGCCUCUGUAUAUGCUUCUGUUUCAAGAUGAGUCCGCGUACCAUUAGCUAGUUGGCAGGGUAAAGGCCUACCAAGGCGACGAUCCGUAGCGGGUCUGAGAGGAUGAUCCGCCACACUGGGACUGAGACACGGCCCAGACUCCUACGGGAGGCAGCAGUGGGGAAUUUUGGACAAUGGGGGCAACCCUGAUCCAGCCAUGCCGCGUGAGUGAAGAAGGCCUUCGGGUUGUAAAGCUCUUUCAGACGGAAAGAAAUCGGGUGGGU
rnacentral:rRNA from 1 species